GUCCUGGGUGCAUUUUAUGUUCACAGACCAAGAAUGCGUAUUUUACUAACAGAAGAGGGCCUGGUAGUUUAGACUUGAUGGACGUUCAGAUACCUUUCUACUCUUAGGAACAAUGCAUAUUAAUUUAAUUAUGACAUUAAGUUAUAUUCAGCUGCUUAAAGCAAAUCCUCAAAGUCAUUGUGCCACAUUUAUGUAGUAUUUCAGGAAAAUGGCAACAUCAAAGUGUCCUGUGUAAACCUUUUGAGUUGCACUUGGGUGUGUUAAGGGGAGGUGUCUUCGCUCAGUCAGGCUACAGCAACAAAGCACACUAGGCCGGGUGACUGAAGCAACAGACGUUUAUUCCACAGAGUUCCAGAGGCGGGAGCCCACCGGCAGGAUGCCGGCGAAGUUGAAUUCUGCUGAAGGCCCCUUGCAAGUUGCAGAUGGCGGCUUUCUCGCCAUGACCUCACAGGUGGAAGGGGCCAGGGAGCUCCGUGGCGUCUCUUCUGUAAGAGCAGGAGCCCAUUCAUGAGCUUCCACCACCCGUGACAUCAGCACUUUCCGAAGGCCCCGCCUGCGAACACCGUCACACUGGGGAUUAGAAUUUCGACAUGUGAGUUGGUGGUGGGGAGACACAGGUUCAGAUCACAGCAGGAGUGGACGUUUUCUUGGCUUCUUGUGCAGCUGCGAACUUGUUGGCCAUUUUCCAGUUCAUUGUUGGCAGCUGGCUCUCCCUGGGAUUGCUCCUGGCACUCUGUCCUGUGCAGUUCGAGUCUCUCUUCUCCUGAUUUUAUGAACAUUUGAAAAUGUAGUUGGUACAUUAACUCUGGAAAGAAUUAGUUCUUACCAGUUUACAAAGGUCAGUGGUAACUUGAAUCGUGACGUUUCAUUUCCGUCACCUAAGAAAAAAUAUAGUUUUGUUUGCAAUACUACUUUUAUGUUUGUUUAUUGAGGAAUGCUUUUCAGCUCUGAUUUCAACUGCAGAUAUUAUUUCAAAUUUUCUUAAAGUUUUAUAACUCAAAAAUAAUUUUUAGGGAUACUUUCCAGACUUCAAAUGAUUUUUUUUUACAAUGCCUUAUAGCAAACUGAUUGGAGACAUAUUUAAUAGUAUGUAUUAAAUUCCUUAAUUAAAAUUAAACCAUAAUUAUUAGAAAUCUUUAAAAUGUCACCUCCCUGUGACUAGUAAAUUUGUAUCAUUCUGAUUGUAAAGCAAUAAGUACACAGAUAUAUUUAUUACAACAUCUAUUAAAUAAGAAGAAAACAAACAUUAUUAAGAAGUGAUUUUAAAGAUUGCAUCUUCAUAUGGAAUAUUAUGAUGUCAUUAGAAAUCCUAUUUCUCAAAAUUUAAUACCAUUGGAAAGUAUAAUACAGGGAAUAAAAUGUUUACAAAAAUUA